rnacentral:rRNA from 1 species
UACGUAGGGUGGCAAGCGUUGUCCGGAAUUAUUGGGCGUAAAGAGCUGCGUAGGCGGUUUGUUGCGUUCGGCUGUGAAAACCUGCAGCUUAAACUGUGGGCGUGCGGUCGAUACGGGCAUCACUGGAGUUCGGCAGGGGAGACUGGAAUUCCUGGUGUAGCGGUGAAAUGCGCAGAUAUCAGGAGGAACACCGAUGGCGAAGGCAGGUCCCUGGGCC